rnacentral:rRNA from 1 species
CAGCAGCCGCGGUAAUACGUAGGGUGCGAGCGUUAAUCGGAAUUACUGGGCGUAAAGCGUGCGCAGGCGGUUCGUUAAGACAGAUGUGAAAUCCCCGGGCUUAACCUGGGAACUGCAUUUGUGACUGGCGAGCUAGAGUAUGGCAGAGGGGGGUAGAAUUCCACGUGUAGCAGUGAAAUGCGUAGAAAUGUGGAGGAAUACCGAUGGCGAAGGCAGCCCCCUGGGCCAAUACUGACGCUCAUGCACGAAAGCGUGGGGAGCGAACAGGAUUAGAUACCCCGGUAGUCCCUGUCUCUUAUAC